rnacentral:rRNA from 1 species
GGAUGCGAUCAUACCAGCACUAAAGCACCGGAUCCCAUCAGAACUCUGAAGUUAAGUGUGCUUGGGCGAGAGUAGUACUAGGAUGGGUGACCACCUGGGAAGUCCUCGUGUUGCAUUCC